AUUGCAUCAAUAUUUUAUCAACAUUAAAACAAUUUAGCCACUCAUAUGCGGGGUUACAUGUUUCUUAACCCUUAGAAGACUCACCUGCUUUUGAAAAGACUCUUUUUUUUGCCAAAAAGUGAGCUUAUGAUUACCACAAUACCACCAUAUUGUGUACGUCAGACAGGAACAUACACAAUAUGGAGUCGGUUUAUUUUGGUGAGCUAAAUUUUGCAUGACAUAGAGAGAACCGAAAGAAAUACCAAAUCUAGAGUUGGGUUUACUUCGCAAAUAGCGCCAUUUAUAACAUGUUUGUGAUAGAAAAAAAAAACCCGUAAAGUUUCGCGCGCUCUUAAAGUACACACAAGAUAUAUAACAAUGUUUAAAUCACGUGCCCGUCACGUGCUUGUCUUUUAUAUUUAUUUAUUUACUUUUCUUUUUGUGAUCACUUUUCAUGUAUGCACAUAUAACACGAAUUUCCAAAAUAACAGUCUUUCCCUUUUUUAACUGUAAAAUACCGUUAAACAUCGAAAACUUAAAACAAAAGCCAAUAACUUUAAAAUAUAGUUCAUGCCAUCUUUUAAAAUCUAGUUAUUUUGCAACUCUGUUUCCGGGGUCUUCCAUUUUUGUAAAGAAGAUGGCGUGAUAUUAAAUAAGAGUCCUGGGGAAUAGAUUAGUAAUUACACAUGGAAAUUGUAAGUUGAAAACAUAUGAUGGAAAAAGAUUACGCAAACUUCAGGUGGUGAUGUCUUGCCAGUGCAUUCCAUUAUUUCAUAAAAUGCACUCCUCAAAGCAAGACAAGAAGAAAACAAAGACCUUUAUUUGGUCGUCUGGUUGGAUGUUCCUAAAACGUUCUGCAGAAUUGACACAUCAGAAUGUCGAACUGGCAGACUUGAAUGAACAAGCUGAAAAAAUCCCAAUGUACGACGCCGUAGAUGGAGCUGUUGAGGUUAAGAAGAGUGAAGAUGAAAAGCUCUUAAAAAAGUACCGUGAAAUGCCACGAAGAGGGGCAAUCUGCGAAAUGAACAUUGCCGAGAGACUUGGACUCCCUCGAGUCUUGCGAAGAAGUAUUCACAUACAAUCCAUCAGUAAAUAUGGCUUGGUGUAAAACGAUUGCAAAUAAGAUAUGUGCUCUUUUAUUUAGCAAACUUUCAAAUUGAGCAGGGACUCUUGUACAUAUAAUCAAAAAAUGAAGUUAUGGUCUAAAAUUGUAAAUAACUGUGUCAGAGUAUAUUUUUACAUGUUAUCUUUUGGGAUUAUAUAUAUGAAAAUUAUUUAAAGAGAGUACGUUCAUGAAGUCUUAUAAAGUAGUAGUGUUUCAUGAAAGAAGUUCGAGAAAUAUCCUGUCAGUUAAAAGACAUUUAAUA